AGCAGGUGGUGAAACCACUGAGCUAAAUCCCCGGUCCUUUGCAGUGUCUUUUUAAAGAAAAUGAGAAGAAUGCCCACAAAUGUUAGGACAGAAUUAUGGAGGGAAAAUACUUUCUCAAAUUAAAAAUGGACUGGAGGAUACAGCUCAGCAGUAAAUCACUUGCUUAACAUGCAUAAGGCCCUCAGUUUGAUCCCCAGCACUAUGGCAGAAAAAAUGAAAACUGAAAGGUUGCGGGGAAUGGAGUAAAGAUCAGCGCUGGGAGGCAGAGGAUGUGGUAUAAAUAAGCAUUGAUUUGUAGUUUUGUUUCUAUGUAGAUUACUUACAACUAACGUAAAAUGAAUGUUUGAUUUCUUGAGCAUGCAGAUGGUGAAGGAUGGAAAGCCAACCUGGAGGCACAAAUUUCAGCAGAUGCUCUGCUUCCAGGUAGUGGAAGUGACUUAUUUUCUUUUUGUGGUUCUGGGUAUUGAAGCCAGGACCUCACCCAUGCUAGGCAAAUGCUCUAACACUGAGCUACAUCCCAGACCUAGUAUAAAUGAUUUUUUUCUUUUCAGUACUAGGGAAGGGGAGAGAGCCAAGGUCCUCUACCACUGAGCUAUGUCCCCAGCCCUUUUUAGUUUUAUUUAUUUUUUCUAUUUUGAGACAGGGUCCUGCUAAAUUGCAGGCUGGACUCAAACUUGUGAUUCUCCUGCUUGGCCUCUCAACUAGCUGGGAUUACAGGCAUGCAUCACUAUACCCAGCCUUCAAAAAUGACUUUUUAACAGUGCUAAUAUCUUCAAUCCAAAAGCAACACCAUCUCCAUCCAAAGGGAAUCUUUAAAUCUCAAGAUGGAUCACCUUCACCAUGAUUAGACUGCAGAUAGAAUAAGGCCUCAUGAAGAUAUUUUUGGUGGCUUUAAAUUGUUGGGAACAGAUACAUAGAGAAGAAACUGCAACUAUGCUCUUUUUUUUUCCUGGUUCCUCAGUCUCCUGAUAUAGUUAACAUUUCACAACUAAAAUAACCUUAAUGAACACUUGAUUAUACUUUUUUUGAAGAUACAUUUCAUGACCUCAGACUGCAGAAACUGCCAUCUCCUAGGCACAGUUUACAUUUGAUCCUUUGCUUAUGUCCCGAGAGCAUCGCAUAUUGGGAGACAUUGCUUUUAUAAAGGCAGUGGCUGCUGGGCCUGGUGAUGCACACCUAUAAUCCCAGCACAUAACAUCAGUGGCCAGCUUGCCUCAGUGUUAAUAAGGACCAGCAUGCAGGUUCAGUUUUGCUCUUCACUUUGGUCCUGAAUUGAGAGCUGAGUCAAGAGAAGUCAGCAGGUCUGCUCAAAAAUGUACGGGUCUUGGGGCCAGAGAUGUAGCUCAGUAGUUCCACUACCUGCCUCACAAGCACAAGGUCCUGAGUUCGAUCCCUGGUACAAAAAAAAUGUAUGAGUCUUUUUUUUUCCCCAAAAGACAGAUUAUUAUUGAGCCCACUUCGGUCAAGGAGCACUGAAUAUUGUGUUAAAAUAGUACUUUACUUCAUGCUUGAAAUUAACAUUUUAAAGAAUCAUGUAAAUAGUUUAAAGGUAGCUGGAUUUAUUGUAGCCAAAUGAGAAAUACAGCUGUUAAUGAGAGGGCAUAACUUUGUGUAGUUCUUAAUUAUUUACAUCAUUAGAGAAACACAAAUAUGACUAGUUCAGAGCAAUUUAACUUUGCAGUGAGAGUUUCUGCGUACCUUUAUAUGUGGGGAUAGCUGAGAUCCUUGGAAUUUACUUUGAGUGAAUGAUGGAAAUACCCGAGAAAACGUAGUGCUAGGACCUCUACUUUUUCUCAGGUCCAGUCACCAACUUCCUACAAACCAGGCAUGAAGAAAAACAAAAAAUAAAUUCUCCAGAAAAUAGGAUGCUUCUCUUCACCCAGGCACAGCUUCUAAGAUAGAUAACAGUUAUUGCAAAGUACAUGUUUUUAAAUGAUCUCCAGUGUGGAUUGCUUCUGAGCCACUGAUGGAAUGAGUACUCCCGGAAGGAAUGUAUCAUUUGGAAUCCAGAAUCAUUCAUCAAGGAUAACUGCCUGAUCCUAUGAUUUCGUGACUGACGCUGAAAUGGAAGCCAACUGAUGCUGAAAUUUGGGGGAAAAUUACAUCUGAAGAAUGCAAGAGAAAGUAGGAAUUCAUUUCUAGCAUUCCCAAACCUGCCUUGUAUUGUCUACUGUACUAUAGUCAGAGGACAACAACUGAGUUCAUGGAAUUUGCCAGCUAAGCCUUACAACUGUCUUAAAUGUUCUUAGGAAAUACACUGAAAAGGUAAGUGAAUUGUCCAUUUAGAAGAAAGACUAAUAGGUAUUUUUAAGUCAGUUGUUAUAUUUUAAUAAAGACAGGGAGCUCCUUUAUUCCAAACUUCAAAGUCGUGCCCCUACUGGGUGACUUCAGUACUGUGGCAAACGUGGAGUUGUUCAACCAGCCUGGAGCUUUUCCUCUACUCAGCUACUAAGCCAGAACAUGCGUUGAAGUGCAUAGCAUGCUAAUUUCUGUUGUCUUGUUGUGCUCAAAUCCUUUUUUUUAAAAAAUUACUUUGUUUCAGAUGAGAUUUAGUUUUAUCACUCAGUAUAUAGAAAAGAGUGUUUAAUGUUUCAAAGAUUCAGCAUUACAUUUGCAUUAGAUAGAAUCAAGAAUAAAUUAAGGGUUUUAAAUGAUUUCUGUUAAUACCUACUUAUAUUAGUUUUGUGGAUUAUUAAAAAAUAUUAUUACAUUUAUUAUGUUCCUGUGUGAUAGGUAUUGUGCCAGGCCCUGGAAGAGGGACUAGCAUGCACAGUUUAUGUCCUUUGUUCAUACAAUACAGAUAGCAUUCUGGUUUAGAGAAUCAAGAUAUGAUAUAAAAAGGCUAAUUCCAUUUUCUCAUCAAUAAUUUACUCUGAUAACUACUAUGUUAACUUAGCAUAAUAAAUUCUUUAUGAAAGUGUCUUCGCUUGUGUGUUUAACAUUUAUUAAAUACUUUGUGCCAGGUAUUGUGUUAAACUCUUUACAUAUAUUUCUUUACUCAUAUCUCUUCUUUGAGGUAGGUACUAUUACUAAAACUCAUUUUCUAAGAAAAGUAGAGAAGCUAACUAACUUAACUUGUGCUGAGUUUGCUCUACCUAUGAUCUGGGACCAAUAUUUGGACCCAGGUAAGCUAAUUCCAGAAUCUACACUCUUUCUUUGGGUAUGAUGUUGAUAUGCAGUACCUGGCUAUGAGUAUCCAUAAACCAUUCCAAACUCUUAAUAGAAAUUUUCCCUAAAUUCUUCUCUAGCUCCAAGACAGUUUGCAUGCUGACCUUUCCUCUUACCCCAGGCCCCAAGUGUAAAGGACUGGAACAGAAGAGCAGAGCUUGGCAGUUACAUUUUAUAUUUAGGAUCUUGUCUCUCAGAUCCACCCCUUUUAUUUUUGGAAUGUGAGCAUUUUCUUUAGCUGCUAAAUCAUGAGAAAAUACAGCUGCUGAGAUUUUUCCUAGGAUUAAAAAAAAGAUUAGGCAUUGUUGAAGUGAAGAAAAAUUGCUCUGAGAACCACAGGUAGGUAAUUUGCCCCCUGUUGUAUGGAAAGCCCCUGCACCUCUGUCCA
ensembl:lncRNA